GACGAACGCUGGCGGCGUGCUUAACACAUGCAAGUCGAACGGAAAGGCCCUGCUUUUGUGGGGUGCUCGAGUGGCGAACGGGUGAGUAACACGUGAGUAACCUGCCCUUGACUUUGGGAUAACUUCAGGAAACUGGGGCUAAUACCGGAUAGGAUCUCCUGCUGCAUGGUGGGGGUUGGAAAGUUUCGGCGGGUGGGGAUGGACUCGCGGCUUAUCAGCUUGUUGGUGGGGUAGUGGCUUACCAAGGCUUUGACGGGUAGCCGGCCUGGGAGGGUGACCGGCCACAUUGGGACUGCGAUACGGCCCAGACUCCUACGGGAGGCAGAAGUGGGGAAUAUUGCACAGUGGGCCGGAGCCUGAUGCAGCAACGCCGCGUGCGGGAUGACGGCCUUCGGGUUGUAAACCGCUUUCGCCUGUGACGCAGCGUGAGUGACGGUAAUGGGUAAAGAAGCACCGGCUAACUACGUG
rnacentral:rRNA from 1 species